GACGAACGCUGGCGGCGUGCUUAACACAUGCAAGUCGAACGGAAAGGCCCUGCUUUUGUGGGGUGCUCGAGUGGCGAACGGGUGAGUAACACGUGAGUAACCUGCCCUUGACUUUGGGAUAACUUCAGGAAACUGGGGCUAAUACCGGAUAGGAGCUCCUGCUGCAUGGUGGGGGUUGGAAAGUUUCGGCGGUUGGGGAUGGACUGGCGGGUUAUGGGCUUGUGGGGGGGGUAGUGGCUUACCAAGGGUUUGACGGGUAGCCGGCCUGAGAGGGUGACCGGCCACAUUGGGACUGCGAUACGGACCAGACUCCUACGGGAGGCAGCAGUGGGGAAUAUUGCACAAUGGGCGGAAGCCUGAUGCAGCAACGCCGCGUGCGGGAUGACGGCCUUCGGGUUGUAAACCGCUUUCGCCUGUGACGAAGCGUGAGUGACGGUAAUGGGUAAAGAAGCACCGGCUAACUACGUG
rnacentral:rRNA from 1 species